AGACCCAGGGUUUGGACAAUCCAAGGGAGAGGUGGAAGGAGAUAUCUGCAAAAAUAAUGAGGCUGUAGAAAAGUGUGCUCACUGUGGAACGGAAACAUUCAUUCACAAUUAACUGAGCAGCUAUUAUAGAGGAAGGGCUACAAUGUGCCUUCCUGUAGAAUUCCAAAUAUUUUGAAAGAUAAUAUAACAAACACUAAUGUUUGGAAUUGGGAAAAUAUCAGAGCCAGCAGAAAGGAUGAUUAACACUCAUAAGAAUGGUACAGACAUUGCUGACACAGUUUUCAGAUACCUGCAUUCUCCGUUGGUCUCAAGAUAAUUGCUGGGAGCUGCUAAAACCAACUAAGACUCGAGGGAAAUCCCCACUACUCUAUAGCAGAAAUGCCCUGGAUUAAGGAAAGAAACUAAGCAAGAAGGUUGACAUCAUAUACAAGAAUGAGAGAGGAGCUAAGAGUUGGACUUGGCUCUAUUUCCUACCAGCUGGGAAAUUGCUGAAUUUUUUAUUUUUGUGCUUGCACCUGC